rnacentral:rRNA from 1 species
AUUGAACGCUGGCGGCAUGCCUUACACAUGCAAGUCGAACGGUAACGCGGGGCAACCUGGCGACGAGUGGCGAACGGGUGAGUAAUGUAUCGGAACGUGCCCAGUUGUGGGGGAUAACUGCUCGAAAGAGCAGCUAAUACCGCAUACGACCUGAGGGUGAAGGGGGGGGAUCGCAAGACCUCGCGCAAUUGGAGCGGCCGAUAUCAGAUUAGGUAGUUGGUGGGGUAAAGGCUCACCAAGCCAACGAUCUGUAGCUGGUCUGAGAGGACGACCAGCCACACUGGGACUGAGACACGGCCCAGACUCCUACGGGAGGCAGCAGUGGGGAAUUUUGGACAAUGGACGCAAGUCUGAUCCAGCCAUGCCGCGUGCGGGAAGAAGGCCUUCGGGUUGUAAACCGCUUUUGUCAGGGAAGAAACGCUCUGGGUUAAUACCUCGGGGUAAUGACGGUACCUGAAGAAUAAGCACCGGCUAACUACGUGCCAGCAGCCGCAGUAACAC